UACGAAGGUCCCGAGCGUUGUUCGGAAUCACUGGGCGUAAAGGGAGCGUAGGCGGCGUGGUAAGUCAGAUGUGAAAUCCCGGGGCUCAACCCCGGAACUGCAUCCGAUACUGCCGUGCUAGAGGAUUGGAGAGGUAGCUGGAAUUCUUGGUGUAGCAGUGAAAUGCGUGGAGAUCAAGAGGAACACUCGUGGCGAAAGCGAGCUACUGGACAAUAUCUGACGCUGAGGCUCGAAGGCCAGGGUAGCGAAAGGGAUUAGAAACCCCCGUAGUCC
rnacentral:rRNA from 1 species